ACUCCCGUGGCGAAAUUGGUAAACGCUUCCCUUUGAGAGACGGAAUUGUUACUCUUUCAAAUCCUGUCGGGAGUACCA
rnacentral:tRNA from 2 species